rnacentral:lncRNA from 1 species
AGCGCCCUUUUCAAAUAGGAACUGAAGGCGAAUAAAAUUUAUUUAGGGACUAAAUUUGAAAAGUCGUGAUUUCAAAAAGACUAUAAUUAUUUUUCAGAAUAAAGGCCUAAUGCUAAGUUACAAAGACUCGUGUAUGAGGUUCGCAUUUGUAUAUGGUUCAAAUAUAUCAUUUAGUCUCUUAUUAUUGAUUAAUUUUUGUCUAGCAAGACAUAUAAUAUGGUUUUAAGUUAAUUUAGAUUUAUAUGAAGCUUUAUUCCUUAUAGCUUCUUAUUUGAUAUGUUAUAUAUAAUAAUAUAAUAUUAAUAAUAUAUAUUUAAUUAUCAGCAGUUCAACUUGGAGUUGAAGUAGUAAAUAACAUUCUUUCACUGAUUCAAUGACUGCCCCCACCUUAAUUUUUAAAACAUUGGCACAUGGUAUAAUAUUUAGAGUACAGAGGAAAUUUGCAUACCUGAAUGAGAAUUGAACUUAGCCUGGACCAAAUUUCUAAUUUCUACCCGAGCUAACUGAACCUCCUCAACCACAUCUAGCAAAUUACUUAGAAGUGAACCUGUUAUCUGCAUAAAAUAGCUGGUUAGCUACAACACACUAUGAGGUUGCAAAAGAAAACUUUGAGCCCAAGAAAUAGAAAGCAAAGGGAUAACAGAAAAGACUACUUAAAGGCUUCUUUGAA